rnacentral:rRNA from 1 species
GGGAGGACCAAGCGUUAUCCGGAAUUAUUGGGCGUAAAGUUUCCGCAGGCGGUUUUUCAAGUCUGCUGGUAAAGCGUGGAGCGUAACUCCAUCAUGGCAGUGGAAACUGAAAGGCUUGAGUAUGGUAGGGGCAGAGGGAAUUCCCGGUGUAGCGGCGAAAUGCGUAGAUAUCGGGAAGAACACCAGUGGCGAAGGCGCUCUGCUGGGCCAUUACUGACGCUCAUGGACGAAAGCCAGGGGAGCGAAAGGGAUUAGAUACCCCUGUUGUCCUGGCCGUAAACGAUGAACACUAGGUGUCAAUUUGAGGGUGCCUUCGGGAAUACAGUGACAGGUGGUGCAUGGCUGUCGUCAGCUCGUGUCGUGAGAUGUUGGGUUAAGUCCCGCAACGAGCGCAACCCACGUUUUUAGUUGCCAGCAUUUAGUUGGGCACUCUAGAAAGACCGCCGGUGAUAAACCGGAGGAAGGUGUGGAUGACGUCAAGUCAUCAUGCCCCUUACACCCUGGGCUACACACGUACUACAAUGCUACGGACAAAGGGCAGCAAACUCGCGAGGGCUAGCAAAUCCCAUAAACCGUGGCUCAGUUCAGAUCGUAGGCUGCAACUCGCCUACGUAAAGUAGGAAUCGAUAGUAAUCGCAGGUCAGCAUGCCGCGGUGAAUACGUUCCCGGGCC